CUACAGCCACUUAAGCUGACCAGGUCCCUUUUUUGAUGGAGGCCUUGUAUGCAGUGGCUGCAAACAGCAUUGUCCUUAGUAGUACAUACUGCCUUUUUCCUGCAUGGGCUGCCCUAAGGGAUCUUGGAGACAAUU
ensembl:snoRNA SNORA70 Small nucleolar RNA SNORA70